UGGGGGAUUUUGCACAAUGGGCGCAAGCCUGAUGCAGCGACGCCGCGUGAGGGAUGAAGGCCUUCGGGUUGUAAACCUCUUUCGCUGGGUUGAAAGGCCAUGCUUUGGGUGUGGUUGAUUUGAACUGGUAAAGAAGUACCGGCUAACUACGUGCCAGCAGCCGCGGUAAUACGUAGGGUACUAGCGUUGUCCGGAUUUAUUGGGCGUAAAGGGCUUGUAGGUGGUUUGUCGCGUCUGUCGUGAAAUCCUGUGGCUUAACCAUGGGCUUGCGGUGGGUACGGGCAGGCUUGAGUGCGGUAGGGGAGGCUGGAGUUCCUGGUGUGGCGGUGGAAUGCGCAGAUAUCAGGAGGAACACCGGUGGCGAAGGCGGGUCUCUGGGCCGUUACUGACACUGAGGAGCGAAAGCGUGGGGAGCGAACAGG
rnacentral:rRNA from 1 species